CGACAAUAUCACGUUGAAACACCAGUUCAAGUACGAUCGACGAAGUUAAGCGACGUCGAGCCUGGCCAAUACCUAGAUGGGUGACCGUUUAUGAAUACCAAGUGCUGCAA